UUUUUUUUUUUUUGUCUUUUUUCUAUUUCUUUGGGCCGCUCCCACGCAUAUGGAGGUUCCCAGGCUAGGGGUCUAAUCGGAACUGUAGCCACUGGCCUACGCCAGAGCCACAGCAACGCAGGAUCCGAGCCGCGUCUGCGACCUACACCACAGCUCAAGGCAACGCCGGAUCAUUAACCCACUGAGCAGGAGCAGAGACCGAACCCACAACCUCAUGGUUCCUAGUCGGAUUCGUCAACCACUGCGCCACGAUGGGAACUCCAGAAAUUUUUUUUUUAAAUAGUUACUGGGCCAGGAAUUUAACUAAUGUCUUUCCCUAUAUUAAUUCAUUUAAUCCUCACAACAGCCUUAGGGAAUUUAGCCUUCUCUUACUUGCUUUAGAUGAAUCAAGGGAUUGCUAUCCUCAGUUCAGCAACUUGCCCAGGGCACCCCAGCUGGUAUGAGGUUCGGGUUGGCUUCAGACCCAUGGCUCAAAAGAACUGUUUUGAUACUCUGCUCCCACCCUAACCCAACCCCUGUCCUGCUGGAUCCAGGGUGAGGGCUGGAAUCUCCCACUGCUCAUUUUUGUAGUGGAAGAGGUCAGCCAGCCCAGAGGUUUCUACUGAGUAACUUCCCUCUGACUAGAACUGAUGUCUGUGACUUCUCUUUCCUUUCUUCAAUACAUUUUUAAAUUUACUUCCACAAUAGAGAAUUUAAAUAUUUUCUGUAGGAUAUACUAAAAUAUAUACAUAUUGUCUAUCUUAAAUUCAAAUUUAACUGAGUGUUCUAUAUUUUUAUUUCCCAAGUCUAGUCAUCCUAAGAGAUGCUAACCAACAAAGAAUGCCACUGGAUUCCUCAAAUAACUGGAAAAGGGCACAAAUAUGGAGGGUCUAGUGAUUGCUGUGCUUUCUCUUCUCCCUAGUGCGUUUUCCCUCAGAGUCCAGCAUCAUGGUCAGCUCACCCCUGCUUAUGACUUUGGACUGUGCUGGCCCCUUGCUAUCAUGCAGACCCAGCUCAGAUGUCACCUCUUAAUCAGGUUUUCCCCAACCAGCCCUGUGUGGCCUACCCUAUAUUGCUACCUUAUGGUCUUCAAGGCCUCACUGAAAUUAUCUAAUCUGAGUGUUUGGUUUCAUUUGAUCCCACCCUAUUAGAAAGUAGGAUCUAGACUGUCAGGCAUUGGGGCAGCCCCUCUAUCUAGAACAGUGCACAUAGUGAAGUUCCUAUUAGCAAGUGAAUGAACAAAUGAAUGAAUCCUGCAAGGGGAGCUUGCACAUUCCUUGACACAAUAAUGAGACUCUGGCACAGGCUACCUAGUGAGGUUAUAUGCCAGUGGUCUGACCAACUACUCUUUCUGGUGUGAAAUGCCUCUAGCCAUGUCAAGGACUCUUGGAUAGCACUUCACACAGCAUGUUAUUCUUCCUUCCACUCCAGGGCCAAUUUGUACUACUCCUGUUUCCACUUUUUCCACAACUGUCUUGGGAUUCCUUGCAUACAUAUGUUAUCCUAACCAGGCUGCAUUCACACUGAGCAGAGACCACUUCCCACUUCCCCUAGCAGUAUGGCGGGCACAACCAAAAGUUGCCAACUCCACGGUGGUGGGAUGCUCUGUACAGGGGUGCACACAUUCAAAUGCUCCCUAGAGUCUCCAUCAAGGCCAUAUGGACUGGGUAGGCCAUGGAGUAUGGGGUCCUUAGACAGACACUGCACAGACACCUCGUAAAGCUUGGGUGUUUAAGCCAUGAGAGAGCAGGAAGCAGGAGCAAGAGCUCUAGUUGCUACCCCAGGUAACAAGGAACAUCCCAGAGUUUGAAAUGGACAUAAUAAUCAGAGAAAAUCAAUGUAGUUAUUGUGUUUAUUAAAUCUUUCAAAAAUAUCUAAGGGGUGCCUACUUUGUGCUAGCUGCUUGACCAGUUACUGAAAAUACACAUAAAUAAGAUGUUCCUUUCACCUUAAAAAGUCUGCGGUUUUCUCUCUCCCUGCUCAAUUAUGAUACUCCUGAGGACAAGGACAUAUAUGUAGCACCUGGAGCCUAAGAGAUAGUUGGCCUUAGUAAGGAAAAUUCUGCUUUCUUUGUGUUUCUCUAAGAGAACAAACCAGAACAAAAGGGAGAAAGACUCAGAGCAAAGGAAUUUGUCACAAUGAUAUAAGCAAGAUACUUUUAACAGCCCUAAUUCUCCAGAGAUGAAUGGGCUUCCCUUUGAGAGGGUGCCUUUCCUAUUUAUGGACACAGUCAAGUAUAGGUUGCAAUUCCUAACAAGAAACCUGUGGAGGAAGUUCAGCCCUGCUCGACAACGCUGUCAGCUCUCUUUUGCCCUAGCAUUUGCAAGGUGCACUUGGUGAUGAUGGCGUUGUUUUCAGACACUUCUCAGGGACUGGCAUGGAGAUACUAGGUGAUUUAACAUUUAUCAAUUAAUUUGAGAAAGAGUGCAGGAGCAUGGAAUUGUUCUUCCUAGAUGAUCCUUCAACAAUCCCCCUGCCAGCUCAACUUCUCGCCCUUCCUUGUUCUCCCUUUGCCAUCUGGCAUCUAUACAAUGGGACUCCAUCACCUUACAAAUCACAGCCACGCAAUAGAAAACUCCACAGGAGGAGAUGACGGGGCUAGAACUUCUCCCUCUAGGAGACAGGGCCUCGUCACAGGUUGUGGUUGCAUUCCAUGUGGGUGACACGUGUAUUUGGAAGGACACUGUCUUUUAGGCAAAAUAAAACUGAAUCUCAUCUCCACAUCUGGAGCUUAGAAGGAAAAUUACCUUAAUUAAACACAGCAGAAUCCAGAUUUAUUGCUCAACACAUGCAGUCCUCUUAAUCUCUGAGGACCAAACCUGAUACUCCAAAAAAGCCAUUUUCCACUGGCACAUGUACACUUGUCCAUCUAUGGCCUUCAGAUGCAUGGAUUCAAAGAGAAGAAAUGUGUUCCCCAAUUUUCAACAUGGGAAAGAGAGUUACAGUGUAAUGAAAACCAUAAGGCCGACACAAC
rnacentral:lncRNA from 1 species